rnacentral:rRNA from 1 species
GGAGCCGUAGCGAAAGCGAGUUUUAACUGAGCGUUCAGUUACUUGACGUAGACCCGAAACCGGGCGACCUACCCAUGAGCAGGAUGAAGCGAAAGUAAAAUUUCGUGGAGGUCCGAACCCACGAGCGUUGAAAAGCUCGGGGAUGACUUGUGGGUAGCGGUGAAAUUCCAAUCGAGCCCGGAGAUAGCUGGUUCUCCCCGAAAUAGCUUUAGGGCUAGCCUCAAGGUGAGAGAUACGGAGGUAGAGCACUGAAUGUCCUAGGGGGUAUUGCACCUACCGAAGACUAUCAAACUCCGAAUGCCGUCAUCUUAUACUUGGGAGUCAGACUGUGGGUGAUAAGAUUCAUAGUCGAAAGGGCAACAGCCCAGAUCGUCAGCUAAGGUCCCUAAAUGUAAGUUAAGUGGUAAAGGAUGUGGGAUUGCACAGACAACCAGGAUGUUGGCUUAGAAGCAGCCACUCAUUCAAAGAGUGCGUAAUAGCUCACUGGUCGAGUGAUCCUGCGCCGAAGAUUUCCGGGGCUAAAACUUACUACCGAAGCUACGGCAUCAGUAAUGAUGGGUAGGGGAGCUUCCCAUACGGGUUGAAGCAUGACCGUAAGGACAUGUGGACAGUAUGGGAGUGAGAAUGUUGGCAUGAGUAGCGAGAUGUGGGUGAGAAUCCCACAGGCCGUAAACCCAAGGUUUCCAGGGGAAGGUUCGUCC